UGGGGAAUAUUGCGCAAUGGGCGAAAGCCUGACGCAGCAACGCCGCGUGAGUGAAGAAGGCCUUCGGGUUGUAAAGCUCUUUCGGCGGGGACGAAACGGUCCGUGACAACACCACGGACUAAUGACAGUACUCGCAGAAGAAGCACCGGCUAACUACGUGCCAGCAGCCGCGGUAAUACGUAGGGUGCAGGCGUUAAUCGGAAUUACUGGGCGUAAAGCGUGCGCAGGCGGCUCCUUAAGUCAGAUGUGAAAUCCCCGGGCUUAACCUGGGAACUGCGUUUGAAACUGAGGGGCUAGAGUGUGGAAGAGGGGGGUGGAAUUCCAGGUGUAGCAGUGAAAUGCGUAGAGAUCUGGAGGAACACCGAUGGCGAAGGCAGCCCCCUGGGCUAACACUGACGCUCAUGCACGAAAGCGUGGGGAGCAAACAGGAUUAGAUACCCCAGUAGUCCCUGAGCGGGCUGGCAAGGCGCAU
rnacentral:rRNA from 1 species